rnacentral:rRNA from 1 species
UACGGAGAUGGCGAACGUUGCUCGGUAUCACUGGGCGUAAAGCGCGCGUAGGCGGUUCGAUAAGUUGGACGUGAAAUUCCGUGGCUUACCCACGGCGCUGCGUCCAAAACUGUCGGACUAGAGUGCUGGAGGGGAGAGUGGAACUCCUGGUGGAGCGGUGAAAUGCGUAGAUAUCAGGAGGAACGCCGGUGGCGAAGGCGACUCUCUGGACAGUAACUGACGCUGAGUGGGCGAAAGCUAGGGGAGCAAACGGG